CCGAACGCACAGCACCUCCGUUUGAUGUAGUCGUUUUGUGCCCCUGAAGAUGAAACUCGGGCGGCUUAAGGGCGACUGCAAUGAUAUGGGUACACUAAUGGCGGCUCUUGUCAAGUACGCCGAUUCUGAUGGUACCAAGGAUCCCCCUUCAGAUGAUGAAAGGACAGGGAAGGGAAAGAAGAACGGCAAUGGCAAGGGUCCUCAGCAUAACCCGGGGAACCAAGGAGGAAGCAAGCGCAAGGCUGAUGGCAGCCUAGAGUUUGUAGCCAACGCCAGCUCACAAGGUAAUAACCAGCGACGCAAAGGGAGGCCCCCUCCCCGAGGCGGCGGGUCAGGCCCGACGCUGGAGCAGCUGUUGAAUGAGCCUUGUCCAAGACAUGGCUCUAGAGAGAAGCCAGUGACUCAUCUGUGGAAGGAUUGUGCAAUCAUGAAGGCCUUUAAGAAUUACAAUGGCCCGGGCGACGGCUCAGGCGCCGGCGGCUUUCAUGGCCCGGGCGGCGGCUCAAAUUCUAAUCCUCAGAACGGUCAAGGGGGCUUCAAUCAACAGUCUGGCCAGGGUCAUCAACAGCAGCAGGGGGGUUAUCAGACCAAUCCAAAGCAGCUUAGCGGUGGACAGUACCAUGUGUUUACCACCAGCCUGUGUAAGCGAGAUCAGAAGCUUCAUAAGAGGGCUGUGAAUGCUGUUGAGCCGGCGGUUCCACGCUACUUGCGGUGGUCUGAGCAGCCUAUAGUGUGGAGUAGGGAGGAUCACCCUCCCCGGGUGGAUAACCCGGGCCACUUGGCCCUAGUGGUGGCUCCUCAAGUGGGAGGAUAUAAGUUUACUAAGGUGCUCAUGGAUGGAGGCAGCAGCAUCAACAUCCUCUAUUAUGAGACGUUCCGUCGUAUGGGGUUGAUUGAUAAGAACCUCAGCCAGUCCAACACUAUUUUCCACGGUGUGGUACCUGGUAAGUCGGCUUAUCCAGUCGGCAAGAUCGAAUUGGAAGUGGCCUUUGGAGAUGAGAACAACUACAGGGUGGAGAAAUUGACCUUUGAGGUGGUUAAGAUAAGAAGUCCGUAUCAUGCUAUAUUUGGGCGGCCGGCUUACGCCAAGUUCAUGGCUCGGCCGUGUUAUGUGUACUUACAGCUCAAGAUGCCGGGUCACAAUGGGACCAUUACGGUUCACGGCAGCCGGAAAGUGGCCCUGGAGUGUGAGGAAGGCGAUGCAGCUUAUGCAGAAUCUGUUUGUGCAACAGAGGAGUUGAAGUUUUACAAGGACAAUGUUGACCCAACAGAUACGACCUCUCUGAAAAAGCCGACUACGGAGCAUGAUCUGGCGAUGAAAUUUAAGUCGGCUGAUGAGACUAAACUUGUUGAUUUCGUUCCAGUAGAUUCAUCUCAACAGUUCAGCAUCAGUGCCAACCUGGAUCCGAAAUAGGAAAGCGCGCUCAUCGAGUUCAUCCGUGAGAAUAGGGACAUCUUCGCAUGGAAACCUUCUGACAUGCCAGGUGUACCUAGAGAGCUCGCUGAGCACACUCUCAAUGUUGAUCCAAAAUUUAAGCCGGUCAGGCAGUUCCUUCGGUGGUUUAAUGAAGAGAGGCGGAAAGCUAUUGGUGAAGAGGUGGCCCGGCUCUUGGCGGCCGGGUUUAUCGUUGAGGUCCUUCACCCAGAGUGGUUAGCUAACCCGGUGCUCGUACUCAAGAAGAACGGCACUUGGCGGAUGUGUGUGGACUACACGGACUUAAAUAAGGCGUGUCUGGCUGAUCCUUUUGCCCUUCCCCGUAUUGAUCAAAUUAUUGAUGCUACGGCAGGUUGUGCGCGCUUAAGUUUCUUGGACGCCUAUUCCGGAUAUCAUCAGAUUAAAAUGGCAGUUAAGGACCAGGAGAAGACAGCAUUCAUCACUCCCUUUGGAGCCUUCUGCUAUGUCUCCAUGCCCUUUGGACUCAAGUGUGCACAGGCGACUUAUCAGCGUUGCGUACAGAACUGUCUUCAUAAACAGAUUGGGCGCAAUGUUCAUGCUUAUGUGGACGACAUUGUGGUUAAAUCCAUAAAGGAGGAAACCCUGAUAGAUGAUUUGAGAGAAACCUUUGAUAAUCUCCGGGUCUACAAGAUGAUGCUUAACCCGGCCAAGUGUGUUUUUGGUGUUCCUGCAGGCAAACUUUUGGGUUUCUUGGUUUCUGACAGAGGCAUUGAAGCUAACCCGGAGAAGAUCAAGGCCAUCACCUCUCUGGCUAAGCCGGCGUGUAUAAAUGAUGUUCAGCGCUUGGCUGGUCGCAUCGCUGCUUUAAGCCGGUUUAUAAGCCGUUUGGGUGAGAAAGCCAUGCCAUUAUAUCAGUUGAUGAAGAAAACUGAUAACUUUGUCUGGAAUGAUGCAGCUAAUACCGCUUUUGAGGAUUUGAAGAAGCAGUUGGCAGAGCCCCCAGUCCUUGCUGCUCCGGUUGAUAAAGAGCCCUUAUUACUGUACGUGGAGGCAAACACACGAGCCGUCAGUGUGGAUGUGGUGGUGGAGCGCAAGGAAGAGGGUAAGGAGCAUCCGGUUCAGCGGCCGGUUUACUAUGUCAGCGAAGUGCUUAUUGAGUCCAAACAACGGUAUCCACAUUGGCAGAAGCUUGUUUAUGGUGUGUUCAUGGCAAGCCGGAAGCUUAAGCAUUAUUUCCAGGGUCAUCCCAUUACUGUGGUCAGUUCUGCCCCUCUUGGUGAUAUCAUUCAAAACAGAGAGCCACAGGGAGAGUAGCUAAGUGGGCUAUAGAGCUUGGACCUCAUGGUCUCAAGUACGUGCCACGCACUGCUGUUAAAUCUCAGGCCUUGGUGGAUUUCAUCAAUGACUGGACAGAGUCACAAGUGCCCGAGCAGAAACCGGAUAACACAUAUUGGACUAUCCACUUUGAUGGGUCCAGGCAGUUGGAGGGCUCGGGGGCUGGAGUUGUAUUGGCUUCCCCUAAAGGUGACAAGUUCCAUUAUGUGUUACAGUUGAUGUUUCCUUGCACUAACAAUGCGGCUGAGUACGAGGCCUUGCUCCACGGUCUUCGGAUGGCUAAGGAGAUGAGCUUGAGCCGGGUAAGGUGUUUCGGUGACUCGGACUUGGUGGCUCAACAAGUAUCAGGCAAGUGGGACUCUAAGGACCCUCUCAUGGCGGCUUAUCGCCGCAAAGUUGAUGCCAUUGCUGGGCACUUUCAGGGCUACCAAGUGGAGCACAUUGAUCGCAGGAAGAACGAGGCGGCUGAUGCACUAAGCCGGCUAGGCUCUCAGCGAAAGCCGGUGCCGCCUAAUACUUUCUUGGAUGUCCUAUAUAAUCCUUCUGUUAAGCUGCCUACAGAGGAGGACUUGGCUGUCCCUGACCCGGAGGCGCGACUGGUGGCGGCUCUCCACGUCAUACCGGACUGGACAAUGCCCUAUUUGGCUUACAUGACCCGGGGGGAGUUGCCUGAGGAUGAAACUUUGGCCAGACAAAUAACCCGGCGGGCUAAGUCAAUGAUUGUUAUCAAUGGCGAGUUGCAUCAUCGCAGUGUUACAGGAGCAUUUCAGCGUUGUGUCUCCCCUGAGGAAGGUCAAGAGAUCUUGCGUGAGAUUCACGAAGGGGAUUGUGGCCAUCACGCCGGCUCAAAGUCUCUUGUGGCCAAGGCUUUUCGCCAUGGUUUUUAUUGGCUGACGGCUCAUGCUGAUGCAGAGGACAUGGUCAGUAAAUGUGAUGGUUGCCAGAGGUUUUCACGACGGGCUCAUGUGCCGGCUCAGGAGCUGAGGAUGAUCCCAAUUACUUGGCCCUUUGCGGUCUGGGGUCUUGAUAUGGUUGGGCCUUUCAAACGAUCCAAAGAUAAGAAGACUCACCUAUUGGUGGCGGUUGACAAAUUUACCAAGUGGGUGGAAGCUGAGCCAGUUAGCAAGUGUGAUGCGGCCACGGCGGUUCAAUUUAUGAAAAAGGUGAUUUUCCGCUUUAGCUUUCCGCACAGCAUUAUAACUGACAAUGGCACCAAUCUAUCCAAAGGCGCCAUGGAAGAGUUUUGUCAACGAGAGCAUAUCCGACUUGAUGUCUCCUCAGUUGCUCAUCCUCAAUCCAAUGGUCAAGCUGAGAGAGCUAAUCAGGAGAUUCUGAAGGGUAUCAAGCCCCGGCUUUUGGUCCCUUUGCAACGGACGCCGGGUUGUUGGGUGGAGGAGUUGCCCUCCGUGUUAUGGAGCAUCAACACUACUCCUAACAGAUCUACAGGCUUCACGCCUUUCUUCAUGGUUUAUGGGGCAGAGGCCGUCCUCCCCAGUGACAUCCGUCAUGACUCACCUCGAGUGGCGGCUUAUGUUGAGGCGGACAAUGAACAGGCGCGCCAAGAUGCUCUUGACUUGUUGGACGAACAGCGUGAAGAGGCCGCAGCUCGCUCCGCGAUUUACCAACAAGACCUGCGCCGUUAUCAUAGUCGCCGGGUUAAAACCCGGGUCUUCCAGGAAGGCGAUCUCGUGCUCCGGCUCAUCCAGGAUCAAACAGAUGCACACAAGUUGUCCCCGCCUUGGGAAGGACCCUUUGUGGUCAGCAAGAACUUGCACAACGGGUCAUAUUACCUCAUUGACGUUCGGGAGCAUAAAAAUUCACGUAAGUCGGAGGAAGAGACCCGUCGGCCGUGGAACAUAGCUCAGCUUCGGCCUUACUACACUUGAGUCACCAGCUCUCGUGAUGUACAUAUUUCUCUCAGCCAUGUAUAUAUUAUGAUAAGCAAUAAAGCAGGACCUCUGUCCUUUUUUCUCCUCCAAAUAUGCACGUGUUGUUUUCAUUGCAAGAUUACAUGAUGACUUGAAGGAGGAUCCGGCUUAUGAUCGUAUUCGAAUCUAGCCAUAAGCAACAAGGUCACUUGGGGGCUUCCUGUUCAAACAUGGGUCGUAUUCGAACCAAAGAGAACAUAGCUGUCGAUACCCAUUUGAUUGGCAAAGUGCCGAGCUCAUUGGGGAGUUUUCCUUGAUCAUAUUUGAAUCAUGGUUUCACCCCUUUGGGAACCGACGUGGAUCGUAUUCGAAUCAGCGUCGUUAAACAAUUCUUAAAAUCACUUGGGGGCUUCCUGUUCAAACAUGGGUCGUAUUCGAACCAAAGAGAACAUAGCUGUCGAUACCCUCUUGAUUGGCAUCGCCACACCCACUGGGGGCUACAUGAUCGUAUUCGAAUCUUAGCAUAACCCCUUUGGGCCGGGUCUCUGGUCGUAUUCGAACCGGAAGCCCCUAAGUUCUUCCAGUUUAUAGUCAGUUUUGUCUGAUUAUUCCAAGUGUGUACGGCCGGGUCUCACUUUGCCGGCUUAACUUGGGUUUACAGUAUUGCUGAACACAAUGGGUGUUAUAAGACAGGAUAUCAUUGAAGACAAGUCCUUUUUGAUUCAUAUUCCGGGUUAUUUAAAACUUAUGAUUCUCAGGGCGGUAAGCCGCCUCGAGACUUGUGAUUUGCCCUUCUAUGCAGGAUAAUUAAAGGCACCUCUUUUGAGGUUAAGAAAAACAAAGGAUUGAUUAUGACCCGGAGAAACAUCAAAGAGACAACUUCAAAAGACUUCAGCAUUCAAUACGUGCACGAUGGCACGGCAGAGAUAAACUGUUGCACCUACUCUAUUACAAAACUCAUCAAGUCUAAAAGGGUGGAGCAUUGUUUGGUAAACCGGCUGCGGAAGUUAAGACGCUUGCUGGGUGGAAGUCUCCGGCUCUUCUCCUCCGGUUGAUCCCAAGACCUGGAAGGUUGAUGACUUCCAGUCGAUGCCGCUGAGAGCUUCGAACUGGGCUUCCUCGUCAAUUAACCCGGAAGGGUCAAUCUCCGGGGUGAAAGUGUGCUGACGAGCCGGCGGGAUCAAGUUGAGGGCUUCAUAGCGAGGGGUUGGAAUCCUCUGAUUCUCCGCAUUGUAACCCGGCUGGUACUUGGUCAGAUCUGUGUCGUUCCCGAUAAGGGUGGCCACCGGGCGUACGGCCUUCACGCAAGCUGCGAAGUCCUUCUGAUCGAAAGCUGAGCCGUCUUCCUUCAGGCUUGGAUAGCCAAGGGCGAUGUCCGCCGGGUCUAACUCCGGCAGGAAUGCCUUGGCCCGGCUCAGCGCGGCGAUCGCUCCGGCUCUUGCAGAGGCCCGUCGCAGCUCUUGGAUCCGUUGAGGCAGUACAGCGAGCCGGCGAAGGACUUCUGCCAGGUGAGUCGGCACCUCGUUGGAUAGGGCCACCACAGCUAAGGCACGCUGUGACCCGGUGUAGAGCUGCUCCACUAGGGUAUACACGGCCUUCAGCUUGGUUACCACGCUCUGGUUGAGGUUGGCACUUCUGGGACCUGUUUAACAGAGUUAGAUAAGCCGCCGACAAGGAUGAAAUUAUGAGAUAUAAACAUUUUAAACUUGAUGAAAGCCGGCGCGACGACUUACCGAAGAUUGCGGCCACCAUCUGGGACACUUGGCGCUUUAGGCCGGAGAGCUCGGCCGUCUUCUCGGAGAGAGCCUUCUCCGCCUGUUCAGCCCGGUUCACCAAUACGGCCUUUUCUUCGGCCCACGCCUUCCGCUCAGCGUCGAACUCCGUCUUCAGCUUUUCUUGCGCGGCGAUGCUGGACACGAACUUGGCGUUUGCCUUCCGGGUCUCCAUCUCUUGCAUCUUCAGCCGGCUCUUGACAUCAGCAAGGUCAGCCUCAAGCUUUUUGCCAGCAGCCUGUAUAAAUUUCUGGGUUAUGGCAUGAACAGUUACUAUAUAAGUCCCAAGCGUUUUCCAAGCAAAGACACUUGGCACUUGGGGGCUAAUGCAUAUUGAAUGUAUCUAUCUACAAACUGCCGGCUCAAUUGAGUAAGCCGGAAACUAAGUCUACAACAUAUUCUAUCAUAAGUCGUUGACUUGGGGGCUAGCAUGGUAAAGGUAACUAUGCAGUAAGUAAAGAGGAUAGCAGAAUGAUACCUCAGAUUUCUGCUGGAUCUGGUUCACCAUGGCGACCUCUGCGUCCCGGCUCUUGUGCACUUGGCUGAUGUAGCCAGAGACGAGCUCUCCAAUGCUCAGGUUGGUGUAGUCGGAGAGGUCCAGGUUCACCCGUGGGGCUGCAGCAACUCCCCCUUAGCGGAGCACUUGGCCAGCACGGUAGGUCUCCCCGGCUCAACGAACUCCGUCCGGGUGAUUACCACGUCCGGGUCGUCUGCUGGUGGAGCCGAGCUGGAGGCCUCCGGGUUAACAGAAGCUUCUGUAGUUUCCUUGGUAGUUGGGGCAGCGGCCUCAGGUGCCUUGUCGGUUGGAAUGGUGGCUUCGGGGGCGGAGGCAGCUGGCGGUUCUUGAGCCGUCACCUCCGGGUCAGGUAAAUCCGGCACUCCGGCUGACUUGGUCUUCUUCGCUCUCUUGGUGAGCUUUGCCUGGGCACUGAAAGGACAGAAACGUUAAGCACAAAAAGGGUAAGUACAGACAAGUAUAAUAUGAGAUGGUUGUCAUUACCCGGGCGCGGUCUUGAAAGCCGGAAGACUCGACUGCAUAGAGUCGCCCGAAGAGGGGGAGGUCUCCUGAUAAUUUGAGUCAGAAGAAUUGAGUGGCUGACGGAUAACGCCCGCCAACGGAUGAAAAGGGUACAAGUGGGAAAUAACUUCAGUUCGGCGCUUCCUUGAUGCGUCAGGUAACCCGGAGGAGAGAUCGGUGUCCUUGCUGGUCCGGGUGUGACGCCGGCUCUCAUGAACCUGUCGCUUCAAAAUAAAUUGAGGAUCUUGAUAAGCUAAAGGAUGUGAAAAGCUUACUUUCCGGGUUACCCUUCGGACUUUCAGCUUUGGCAAGGGCUCCGAGUCGGAGGAAAGUGACAUUACCUCUUCAACCACCGGGUUACUUGCGCCGGUGUCAUCCUGUCAAUGAGCAAGUAUUGAUAAGGCGGACAGCAACAAACAGUGAAUACAGCAAGGACUUAAAGGCUCAGGGGUUACCUGUGACUCGGAGCUGUCGCUUAGUUGCAUCAGCUCUGAAGCAGUAGGCCUGCUUCCUUUCUUGCGAGGGGCGGCUUUCUUGGCGGCUUUCUUCACCUUUCUGGCCUUCUUGGCCGCCUCAUGGUCAUAUUUGACCCGCCAGAACUUGUCGUCAGCCUGAAAAAUACAAUGAUGAUUUCUUCAAACGAUUCAGAUAAAAGUUAUAUACAGAAGAAGAUAGGAUGAUCAGAUUGGCGGCUUACCGCUGGGGUUGGGUUGGUCUUGCAGAAGGGGGCUAACCCGGUCCUUCCGCAGUCUGCAAGGCUCUCGUUUAAAAGAGCCUUGGUCAUCUCCUCUGCAACGUCUUCCGGAAGAUCAUUGCGGCUGUGUCUCUGAGGGUCGUCCUUUCGGCCCGUGUACUCACACAUUAAGCCGGGGCGGCGGCUCAAUGGGAUCACCCGCCACGAGAUCCAGACCCGGACCAGAUCGAUUCCAUUCAGACCAUUGCCCAGGAGAGCCUUGAUCUUGUUGAUAGUGGGGAGCAGAGGCUGGCGCUCCGCCGGAGUCAAUUUGUCUGACAAUGGGUGUGUUGACUCCAGACGCGAUGGGCGAAAGCCGGGCAGCGGACUUUCAUCAGCCGGUGACGUGUCUUGGCAAUAGAACCAAGUCAUGUUCCAGUCCUUUGGGUGGCUCGGCGGCUCUGCGUAAGGGAAAAGGCAGUCCCUACGCCGCUGGAUGGAGAUGCCACCUAAUUCCAGACUUGGCCCAUUGGCGCACUCAUUCUGACGGUUCAAGUAAAAAAGCUCUCGGAAGAGCAGCAGACUAGGUUCAUCUCCAAGGUAAACCUCGCAGAAGACUUGGAAGUUGCAGAUGUUGGACACUGAGUUGGGUCCUAUGUCUUGAGGCCGCAAGUCGAAGAAGUUUAGAACGUCCCUAAAAAACUUUGAGCCGGGCGGUGCGAAGCCCCGGCUCAUAUGAUCCGCAAAAAUCACUACCUCCCCGUCCUUUGGCUGUGGUCUCUCUUCUGACGGGUCAGGGGCAUGGUAGGACAUGACGUCCUUCUUGGGCAGAUAUCCGGACUUGACAAAAUCUGCUAGGGUCUCAUUGGUGACAUUGGACCUCAUCCAGUUUCAAGUAAUGUGAGCUUUGGGAGGCAUGGUGAAAGUCGGCAGUCUAUGAUAAAAAGAAAAACGUCCGGGUUAAUUAUGAGCCGGAAGAAAUCUACGGUUCAAGGUCAAGGUGGCGGCUUAUGAAGGGGACUAAUGGUAUACAUUUAAGUGCAUCGGGCUAUUUAAGCCGCCGAGGGAUUGAGAGUAAUUUGAUUGUCUACAGGCUUUAUCACAGCUAAACCGGAAAUUUUAUGGCGCAUGGUUUUCUUUAAGCCGGAAAGUUCUAUGGCGCGGGGUUUCUUUAAACCAGAACUGUAAACCGCCGAGAUUCAAGGAUUGCAAUUUUUACUAAGUGUGGUAAAACAGGUUUCACACAUCGCAGUAAAAAUUUUGGAUCAAAAUAGUCGGACAAAAGAAAAGUUUCUACACCUAGAAACAGACGCUGGAGAGGAGCGGAGGUUGCCGCCGUUUGUCUGGUCCGAGUCAGGGUGAUGCAGCGGCCAAGGUUGACGAAGACCGGGGGCGCGACGGCGGCGGCAGUAGCGGAGCUUGGGCAGAGGAGCAGUGGCACGAGGAAGAAGAUGGAGAGAGAAGUGGCUGAGAGCCCGUCGGGCCGGCCUAUUUAUAAGGCAAGUUCAUAAGUGGGCGCGAGAAUCAAGGAGACCACGGCGUGGUUAUCUCCCCACGAAACGCCUCGAUUUUCGGGAUGACAGUAAAGAAAAAGAUCCGUUGCGGAUCUGGCGGAGUAAAAAACGGGCUUAAUGGAAGAUGACGUCACGGCGGAUUAUCCGGAGUCCAGAGGAUGACGUCACGCCGGGUUAUGGCCUUCACACAAUUGUAAGCCGGAGGUUUUCUGUCGAAGAAAUGGAAGAUUGACAUGAGCCGGCUCAAAUCAAUCUGGGGCCUAAUGUUGAGGAUAUAGACCUUAGAGUCACCCGCCAGGAGGGGCCGGGUUACUCAUAUGGUCGUUGCCAGAAGCCCGGAGCCAAGCUGGAAGACGAUGGGCCAGAGAUGGGCUUAAGACCUGGAUAUGGCUUAAAGCCCGUAAUUACAAUCGUUAUUAUGGUAGAACUUGUAGUGUAAGGCAAGAAUAGUUGAGAGUCCGAGCCGGACACUUUUAUGAGCCGGCCGGGACUCUGAGAGCUGCUGGGCGUCAGCCUCCCUAUAUAAAGGGACGACCCGGCAGCGGUUUAGGGACAAGAACAAUCUCAUCGAGAGCCGGGCAUAGCAGUUUAGCUCCCUGGUGAUCGUAACCCUAAUCAAUACCACCUCAACUGGACGUAGGCUUUUACCUUCACCGUAAGGGGCCGAACCAGUAUAAACCCUCGUGUUCCUUGUCCCGCAUUAACCCCUUCAAGCUUCCUAGCUGCGAUGGCUCCACGACUAAGUCCUAGCUCGAGGACAUCUGCCAUGACAAUUCCACGACAGAUGCCGACUGAAUAAAAAUCCAUGCCACCAUCCAUAAGUGGUUGCACCCAGAAUUCAGAGUACCCCGCACUUUCGCAGGUUGCACCAAGGACUAUGUAUGCAAUAUGUAGUGAACGGAUAAUCGGCAGAAAGGGAAGUAAAUUCUCAUUAUGGUAAUUCUACAUAGCUCAACAAACAACACACAUUUUCAUUGGAAUUUGAGCUUUAAGUUGUAAAUUUGCUCCAUGACAACCAAUUUUCAAGCAUUUUUGGCAUAUUCUGAUGUGGUCUAAUGUUAAAUACAACACACUACUCGCGUUUUUUCUGUUAAUUCGCGAGUAAAUUGGAACAGAAAUUCGCGAGUAGUGUGUUGGAAACGAAUGCCUGGAUUUUUAUGUUAAUUCUGUUACUCUAAUGAUUUUUGUUUCCACUUCUAGUCAAUUGGAAACAAACGGCUCCAAGCCAUAGGAUUGGAAACGAAUGCCUGGAUCUGUUUCUUCCUCCAAACGUUUCGAUAGAGUGCACGAACUGAUCUUUCUCUUCACAGCACUUCGAUCCAAAUCGUAAUCAUCCACCCCGAUCUUAACGUGCGGUCCAGAAAGCCUCCGCCCCGCGGUGGCGACUGGCGAGGUGAUUUUGCCCAUGGGGUCGCCCACCAAUGCGGCGGCGGACUGGUCCGACGAGGCGCUGAUCUACGUCAAUGGCGUCCGCCGCCUGCUCCCGGACGGCCUCGCCCACCUCACCCUCCUCCAGUACCUCAGAGGUCGCUCCCCUUCCCCCUUCCCCCUCCCCAGUCUCCCUACACACUUGUAUGUAAGCAAUGCUGUAGGACCUCUACCGCGUUUCCUACUUCUGAAUCGUAAAAUUGUUCGCUGAGUUCGUUUCGGAGUCUGCCAUCGUACCAGUAGAAAAACUUGCUGGUGUAUGCCUGUUGUAGAGCAACCACAUUAUGGUGGAGGGACAGUUUAUACAUCUUUUUGGGGAGGAGGUUGUACAAAAAUAGCAGCACAUUGCGGGUUAAUUUGGCUACAUUCUGGCAAUAGAAAACUUGCUGGGGUAUACUUGUUUUAAAGCAACCGCAUUGUUCUAUUGGUACACUGUAGCAAUAGAAUCAGUUUUUGUUAUCAUCUUAAGACAGUUAAUUUGGAAGUGUGCUCUUACUGUAAAAAUGAGACUGAACUGACAAACAGAGAUAAAUAGUGGAGGUACAGUACAUCCAUCCUCCUGCGUCCACGUCUUGCAUACAUCAAACUGAACCUCAAUGGACGUCAUGGCAUCAUCGUAGUUAGUGGCCGCCUUCUUCGAGCAGUCUCACCAGCAUCCUCUGUCGUAGGCUGCUGCAUUUGUCAGCUUCAAGCCCUCAAGAUACAGUAAAACUUACUAACAGUUAACACAUAGCACCUGAAUCAUCUACAUAUGCUGGUUUGCUAACUAUGCUCUAAUUUCUGUCUAGCUACUUAUUGUAGAUAUCGGCCUUCGAGGAACAAAACUUGGAUGUGGUGAAGGUGGAUGUGGAGCCUGCACUGUCAUGGUCUCAUGCUAUGAUCAAAGUACAAAGAAAUCACAGUGAGCAUCAUAUUCCUUCAACAAGUCAUGUCAUUCUCACUCUAUCUAAUUUGAGUUAUUCUUGCUGAAUGAAAUGUUAUUUAAAAUACAAAUUAGUUAUUGAUGAAAUUUACACAUAUGCGCCUAUAGUUAUAGUAACCUCACCCUUUCUAUACAGGAGGUGGCUUACCAUAUUCAUUCCAUCUCAUUCCUCCAACCAAACACACAAUGGAAUCAUCUAUGGCUGUGUGCACCGCGUGAUGCAGAGGCCGGGGGUAAUCCUCCUUUUCGGAAAAAAACAUAAUGGAAUCAUCCUGUUCCAUUCCAUCCCUCCAAUCCAAAUCUGGAACUGCUCAGUUCUUUGUACCAAACACUUAGAUGGAACCGUUUCAUUCCAUCUCGUUCCAUUCUCCAGGGGAUGGAACCAUUCCAAUCCAUUAUACUUGGUUCCCUCAGCCAAACACAUCCUAAAAAAUCUGAGGUUCACAUAGCAAUGUGAAACAGAUUCUGCAAUACAUUCACCCUUACUGAGUCUGUAUUCUUUCACAGCUAGCUUUGUUCUAGCUGAAACACAGCAUGCAUUCGCGAACUCUAGUUUGCUUGCAUUUACAACAUGUGGUGUUUAACUGUUAUAGUGGCGUGUGUUGCUAAUGAACCAUUUUAAGGGCAAAUGUAAAUCCUAUAUAUUAACUGUUUUUUUUGAACGGUCACCGGGGGGGAGAGGAUCCCCACCUGAAUAUAUUGCUCAAAAAGCUGCCAAAGCCAAGAGUCACCCCUUAAGCUUUGGCUGAUCCAGUUUAUAAGGGAAACCGGAUCAAAAACCUAAACAAGUUGACCCCGUUUAUGAGGGAAACUGGGCCGAAAAUCAUACAGGUAACAAGGUUACAAAAGAUGAGAAAAAAGUGCCACCCAGGAGAGGGCAUGACCUAGCUAGCAGGCAGAAAGACCAACACCACGAGAGACACAAGUAGAUGUGGGGUUCUGUCGAGGGAUCACAAUACCAAGACUCUGCAAACAACCUAAUGCACCGCACCGGCGUGCGUACCGAGCCCCACGGCACAACAGAGGAUCAACCAUAAUCAACGAGUGCCAAACCAUAACACGAACCUUGACUGGAAGAUCCGCCACGGGCGGUCAGAACGAUUAGCAGGUUGGGGAGGCAUCAUUGCGUCGUCAUUGAGCAAAGGUGAACCAAGACAACACCAAGAGCCCAAAGCUCGCCGCAGCACAACGGCAACCAUGGGAGGGUCUUGAGCAUGCACAGCAACAGGGCGGAGACCACGCGAAGGACAGCCAAGAGAAACACCUGAAAAAGAAGCACACCACCGUCGGCCCCAAGCUGGCCGCAUCACCACCACCAAACGCACCAGCCUCAACCACACAACAGCAACAGGGGCCGUGGUUUGGGCCUCCAAGAUGACGCCUCCAAGGAGUUAGUGCUGUCGAAGACACAACACCAUCAUCCGAUCCGGCAAGCCCGAUCUUGGGUUUUCACCCGGAGACCACAAAGCAAAAUACCAUAGGUGCUGGAGCUCCACAGCGGCACCUCCUGCGAGGAAGACGACGUCCAUAGACGCCGCUGCUGCUGACAUCGACAUAGUCGAUGAUAGGUUCCCACCCGGAGUUUGAGCACAUCCCUACAGCAAGACGGCCUGAACCACGCCGAAGCAGAUCCACACGGAACAGCUCGAAGACCACGCCUCUAGGAAGGUAUGCGAUGCCGGGGAGGUGCCGUCGUGGUCGGCUCACACAAUGGGUGAGCAGGGAUUUCUCCCAGAGCACCGCCGUACAGGACCCUAUUUGGACCACUGCAGUUCAGAUCCAGCCCGAGAUCGCCGCCAGGCCACCUGCCAUCACGACCGGCAUGCCCCGAGCCAGAAGCAAGCCACGUAUCCACCAGCACUGCCGGCAGCGCCAACCGAGCCGCCGAGCACCAUCCCAUGACCGACCGCCUCAAAGAUCGCUAGAUCGGGGACGGGGAACUCAGCAAGCUCCGACCACUGCCAGAUCUGGAGCCGGCGCGCCGGCCGCUCCAGUUCCACCUCGCCCCGCAGCUCCCCUGACUCGACGCGCGCCCGUGGCCGCCCGCACCAGCACCGGGCGCCACCACGACCGCGCCACA
rnacentral:lncRNA from 1 species